UACGUAGGUGUCAAGCGUUGUCCGGAUUUAUUGGGCGUAAAGCGCCCGCAGGCGGCUUGCCAAGUCUGACGUGAAAUCUCCCGGCUCAACUGGGAGGGUGCGCCGGAAACUGGGGUGCUGGAGCGCGGGAGAGGAAAGCGGAAUUCCUGGUGUAGCGGUGAAAUGCGUAGAUAUCAGGAGGAACACCAGUGGCGAAGGCGACUACCUGGCCUGUUCUUGACGCUGAGGCGCGAAAGCUAGGGGAGCAAACGGG
rnacentral:rRNA from 1 species